rnacentral:rRNA from 1 species
CAAUAGCGUAUAUUAAAGUUGUUGCGGUUAAAAAGCUCGUAGUUGGAUUUCUGCUGAGAACGACCGGUCCGCCCUUUGGGUGUGUAUCUGGCUCUUUCUUGGCAUCUUCUUGGUGAACGUUGCUGCACUUGAUUGUGUGGAGCGCUACCCAGGACUUUUACUUUGAGGAAAUUAGAGUGUUUCAAGCAGGCAUACGCCUUGAAUACAUUAGCAUGGAAUAAUAAGAUAGGACCUCGGUUCUAUUUUGUUGGUUUCUAGAGCUGAGGUAAUGAUUAAUAGGGAUAGUUGGGGGCAUUCGUAUUUAACUGUCAGAGGUGAAAUUCUUGGAUUUGUUAAAGACGGACUACUGCGAANGNAUUUGCNAAGGAUGUUUNCAUUG